ensembl:lncRNA
AAUCAAGUGGCAGGGUUAGGUUAAGGUGGCCAUUAGGCUGAACUACAGACUCUUGAUUGUGGCUUACGAUGCACAAAAGAGGGAUGUGGCUUAAGUGAUGUAAAAAGAGGCCAAACUUGUCUCAGCAAAAGACAGAGAGAAGAGAGUAAUCUAUAAGCCAUGAGUCUCCGGGUGGACUAGAGUGUAUCUGCAGUGCUUUGUGAGAGAGGCGUGCCCAUCCUCUCCCCAGAAACUCAACAGUGUUGUGUCGGUCGGUGGAGUUUGGGUUGCCGUAGACGAUGGGGGAGUGCCCCAGGGUCACUGCCGCCGGUCUUCGGUUUCUUGUCGUGAAAAAGCCAUCACCACAUCCUCCGCACCUGGUGACCCAGAUCCACAAACAGAGGACCUGAGCCCUAGGACCAUGCCUCAGGACUACCUGGCAUGAUGACUCCUUGCUGUCCCCAGUCCACCUCGCCGUGCUCCUGCUCCAGUUUCAAAUGUUCUGCCUGCGGCUAUGGAAUCCUGACCUGUUCACUGGACGUGCUACCUGUCCCAGAUCUAUUAUUUGACCAUGCUGGUCAUUUAUGAACAUUUGAACAUCUUGGCUAUGUUCUGUUAUAAUCUCCACCCGGCACAGCCAGAAGAGGACUGGCCACCCCUCAUAGCCUGGUUCCUCUCUAGGUUUCUUCCUAGGUUUUGGCCUUUCUAGGGAGUUUUUCCUAGCCAAUGUGCUUCAACACCUGCAUUGCUUGCUGUUUGGGGUUUUGGGCUGGGUUUCUGUACAGCACUUUGAGAUAUCAGCUGAUGUACGAAAGGCUAUAUAAAUACAUUUGAUUUGAUUCAGCAUUUAAAAAAUCCAGCAGCGUUGCAGUUCUUGACACACCCAAACCGGUGCACCUGGCACCUACCACCAUACCCCACACCUAAAUCUUUUGUCUUACCCAUUCACCCUCAGUGCAACACAUACACAAUCCACAUCUCAAGGCUUAAAAAUACUUAUUUAACCCAUCUCCUCCUCUUCAUCAAUAAGGGAUCAUAGCUUUCACCUGGAUUCAUCUGGUCAGUUUAUGUCAUGGAAAGAGCAGGUGUGUCUAAUGUUUUGUGCACUCAGUGCAUAUAUUUGUUUAAUUUUGGCAACACCACUGCAGUUGACCUAGACUUUGAAUACCACUGGUCUAGUACAAUGCUGCUUCCCAAUACAUCAUAUAAACCAGCUUAUCUUUCACAAUAGUCCAGUCCAUAAGAUCACUACUCUCCAGCAAACAGCAACCACCCAGACAGAGGGAGAUAAGAUUCUAUUAUUUCAGGUACGAUGUCACAGGCAAUUUUCUCUGGUUGCCACUGCUGGCCUGAGGCAAUAAUAAAAUAUGUGGAUAAACUAGGCCCAAGACCCAGCAGGGUCACGGAAGAAGGACAGCAAGGGCUUUCAAGGCUCCAGUCACAGCCGUUUUGGGAUUCAGCCUGGAAGGCAACUGAUAAGUCUGGUCGAAUCAAGAGGACCUCAUCAAUGCAUUUGUUUGCUCCUUGAAGUACAGGCACCAGCAGGCAGUGACAUCCAUCAACCAAGUCCUUAUUUCUAUUGACUUGGCGCCCUCUUGUGUUGAUGUGUGUAUCGGCAAGAGCAAGAGAGGCUCCAUAACAUCUUGUGCCUUGCUGAGCGACUCAUGUACAGUGGAUAUUACUUUAUUCCAUCAAUUAAGUGUCUACAAACAAUUUCCCCAAAUGUGUGCUUGGCAGGGAAUAAUGACACCUCUUAGUCACUGACAGCUCCACCCAGACAGCCUGUUGGUCUGGUGAGUAAUCCAUCAGGGUUGGUAGACAAGAGCACACGGGUGUGUUCACUAAGGUGAAACAUUUACAAUAAUGCAGAUAAAAAUUUAACCAAACAGAAAUUCCAGUUCCACAUGACAGACAAUAAAAUCUGUUCUACAUAAUGAUUUUCUAUCUGCUGUGUGUAUGGGUGUGGCCCUUACCCUGGUCUAUGUUGUGCUGUGGUAGCUGGCUCAUCUGAGCGUUGACCACGCCUGCGUAAUUCCGUAGAAACGCCUCCUCGCUCGGCGUCAGCUGAGAAACAAUUCAUUAAUAACGUAUUAAAAAAAAUAUAUAUAUAUAUAAGUAAUUUUUUACCCCCCCUUUCUCCCUUUCUCUGCAAUUCCCCAACGGGCUAAGGAGAGGAAAAGGUAG